GUCAUUACAUACUAACGUGACGUCAUUUAUGCUGCUGGCAGAAUACUAGUCGCUGAAGCGUUUUGUGAGUGAAGCAUUUUCACAGAAUGCCAUUAAAGCUAGUUACGGAGGAAAGACCAACGCCUUUACCACAGCUGCCUUAUUGCACUGCCAGCACCCCCUACAGGCUUCCUAACUCAGCGCUCACUGUCCCACCUUGCUGUCACCAUGCUAUUCCGUGGGAUCACAGCUCACCGCAUCAGCAAGACCAUCACCUUGUACCUGAACGAGACGGCGUCACCUAAACCUUCACCUGGGCCUCCCAUUGGGCCUCCCAUUGGCUCUCUGUCUGCCCUCCUUUCUGUCUAAAACACCUCCGAUCCCCCCCCCUGCUCUAGGAGGAUACACCUUCACCCAGUUGCUGGUGCACAUGUCUCACGACACACAGAAGUACCACAGCUUCACUAAGAGGAUCAAAGGCCACA